rnacentral:rRNA from 1 species
UACAGAGGUCCCGAGCGUUAGGCGGAAUCACUGGGCUUAAAAGCGUGUGUAGGUGGAUCGUUAAGUACCUUGUGAAAUCCCACGGCUUAACCGUGGAACUGCUUGGUAUACUGGCGGUCUUGAGCCAGCUAGGGGCUACCGGAACAAAUGGUGGGAGCGGUGAAAUGCGUAGAGUAUCGCCUGGAACGCCGAAGGUGAAAACAGUCUGCUGGGGGUGUGCCGGACGCUGAGACACGAAAGCCAGGGGAGCGAACGGG